rnacentral:rRNA from 1 species
GACAGAGGGUGCAAACGUUGUUCGGAAUCACUGGGCUUAAAGGGCGCGUAGGCGGGCUGCCGCGUCCGGGGUGAAAUCCUCCCGCUCAACGGGAGAACGGCCUCGGAUACGGGCGGCCUCGAGGGGGGUAGGGGCAUCUGGAACUGUGAGUGGAGCGGUGAAAUGCGUUGAUAUUCACAGGAACUCCGGUGGCGAAGGCGAGGUGCUGGACCCCAUCUGACGCUGAGGCGCGAAAGCCAGGGGAGCGAACGGG